rnacentral:lncRNA from 1 species
GAACCGCAGACAGACACGGACUGCAGCCAAACACCUAACAACUCCCAACACAGACAACGCAGAUUACAGACAUAAAGCUCUCCCCACACAAACAGAAUGGAGGACAGCCGACACAAAAGCACAGGACGCCCAGGCCAAAACAGCCAAGACCACGCCACUUCAAAUGGAACAGCUACAGACAGAACUAAAACACUCCACUGAGGGAACCAGGAGCAGCAGAUCACAUGCAUCAUAAGAAUAAAAACUGCCACCGCGAAGAGAUCUCAGGCAUCCCCCACAGCCCUGAUGGUUGGGGAAGCAAUGGGAGUCACCUUGCGUCCCCUCCUCUUAUGCCCUGUCUUCUCUACCCCUUGGUUGACCAAUUCCAUGAUUGCCUCCAUCUGCUCUUUGGUUAGCGGCCUUGAGAAAAGGCGAGCAAUCUGUUCAAAAGAAUUAUCUUGGUUAGAGGAACAUGAAGCAAUAGAGUUUUGGUUUUGUUUCUGAUUUGUUGCAGUAUUAUUGAGCUUAGCUAUCAGGAUGUCCUGGGCUUUGGAUAUGGCAUCCCUGGAACGCCCCAUCAUAGUCUUUUUCUUGGCAGCUAGUCUAAUACUGGAUCUCUUUUUGAAGGUAGUAGUCUGAUUAGACAAAACAGCAGCAGAUUCAGUGGAUUGCCCCAAUAAUGCACUAAAACUGUCUGGGGUAUCAAUAGGAGGUGAAUGGAUUAGCGGUUGAUCUUUUGGUAAAGCAAUAUGUGCAACAAAUUCUUGAAGCUGCGCAUCAGAGCAGACCCCCUGCUUGUGCGCGGAUGGCUGACCGACUAGGAGUGGUUCAUUGAUAUGUACUGCGAAGGAAGUGGGACCAUCCUGAUUAUGUUGAUUACAGCGUUGUUCUAUGAUUAAAUCGCAGCCAUCCUGGAUAGGCUCUACACUUGCUACCCCAUGGGUUGGCCUUUGUGAUUGGGUUGACCUUAGUGGUUCUUGAAUCAAUGGGACAUUGGACAACGUACUAAAAUUCUGGCCUGGGUUAAAAUUAGGUUCAGUUCCCCUUUCUACACUGGAAGGACGCUGAUCAUCAACAGAAAUUGGGGGAGGCAGAGGAGGUACCUUGGGCGAUGCAGAUGCCUGGGACAGGAGCGAAGCCAUGCUGUUAUCGCGGCCGUUGUCGUCAAUCGGACUGGAGUUCCCCUCAGCAGCCACAGGAGUCUUGUUGCCAGGAAGGUGAACAUUGGUCAGCCUAGAACAAUCAGCAACUGUCGACCCUUCAC